rnacentral:rRNA from 1 species
UGGUUACUAUAGCAAAGAGGAUACACCUGUUCCCAUUCCGAACACAGAAGUUAAGCUCUUUAGCGCCGAUGGUACUUGGUGGGAAGCUGCCUGGGAGAGUAGGACGUAGCCGCAUA